AUGGCCAAGUCCAAGAACCACACCACACACAACAUUCCCGAAAAUGGCACAGAAAUGGUAUUAAGACCCCGAUCACAAAGAUAUGACUCUCUCAAGGGGGUGGACCCCAAAUUCCUGAGGAACAUGUGCAUUGCCAAGAAGCAAAACAAGAAGGGCCUAAAGAAGAUGCAGGCUUUGGCAGGCCAUCAGUCCACGUGGUGAGGCUAUGAAGGCCCUUGUAAAGGAGGUUAAGCCCAAGAUCCCAAAGGGUGUCAGCAGCAAGCUCCAUCGACUUGCCUACAUUGCCCACCCCAAGCUUGGGAAGCGUGCUUGUGCCCGCAUUGCCAAGGGGCUUGGGUUGUGCCGGCCAAACGACAAGGACAAGGAUCAAACCAAGGCCCAGGCUGCAACUCCAGCUUCAGUUCCAGCUCAGGUUCGCAAAGGUGCUCAGGCUCCUACAAAGGCUUCAGAGUAG
rnacentral:lncRNA from 1 species